GGGGAUGAUCGGCCUAGACAAAGGAAUUUUUUCCGAAGCCGGCCAGACGGAGCUCCGAGAACUCCUUAAACUUUCGGAAAAUUCAACUGCCAAAACAGUUGGGGUAAAGUCGCCAUAUUUGGCUGGCUUUCCCGCUUUCGCUUUCGCUCACGCCUAAGCGAUGUCCGACUUGCUGACUUCCGAUAGGCAAAAUCGGGCAUAAUACUUUCGGGAUAGGAUUAAAGAGUGUCUGACUUUAAUCUGAAUCGCCUCACCGGCGAUCAGGACUCGGCGUUUUGAGAUUUUGCUGGCUUUAUACGAAAAGCGCUUAAAAAAACAAAACCAACUAUGUCUGGUAGAAAGGUCUCGGAUUCUCUUUUGCACGGCGGUUCGAUUCCGCCCAUCUCCACAA
rnacentral:tmRNA from 1 species